UGGGGAAUUUUGGACAAUGGGGGAAACCCUGAUCCAGCCAUCCCGCGUGUGCGAUGAAGGCCUUCGGGUUGUAAAGCACUUUUGGCAGGAAAGAAACGUCAUGGGUUAAUACCCCGUGAAACGGACGGAACCUGCAGAAUAAGCACCGGCUAACUACGUGCCAGCAGCCGCGGUAAUACGUAGGGUGCAAGCGUUAAUCGGAAUUACUGGGCGUAAAGCGUGCGCAGGCGGUUCGGAAAGAAAGAUGUGAAAUCCCAGAGCUCAACUUUGGAACUGCAUUUUUAACUACCGUGCUAGAGUGUGUCAGAGGGAGGUGGAAUUCCGCGUGUAGCAGUGAAAUGCGUAGAUAUGCGGAGGAACACCGAUGGCGAAGGCAGCCUCCUGGGAUAACACUGACGCUCAUGCACGAAAGCGUGGGGAGCAAACAGG
rnacentral:rRNA from 1 species